UACGGAGGGUGCGAGCGUUGUUCGGAAUUACUGGGCGUAAAGCGCGUGUAGGCGGCCUUCUAAGUCUGGUGUGAAAGCCCGGGGCUCAACCCCGGAAGUGCAUUGGAUACUGGGAGGCUGGAGUACCGGAGAGGAGGGUGGAAUUCCUGGUGUAGCGGUGGAAUGCGUAGAGAUCCGGAGGAAGACCGGUGGCGAAGGCGGUCUGCUGGGCAGUUUCUGGCACUGAGGCGCGACAGCGUGGGGAGCAAACAGG
rnacentral:rRNA from 1 species